rnacentral:tRNA from 4 species
GGCCCUAUAGCUCAAUGGUGGAGCAGGCGACUCAUAAUCGCUUGGUUACAGGUUCGAAUCCUGUUGGGGCCACCA